AAUAGAUACCCAGGUAGUCCAUGCCGUAAACGUUGGGCACUAGGUGUGGGACCCCCUCAACGGGUUCCGUGCCGUAGCUAACGCAUUAAGUGCCCCGCCUGGGGAGUACGGCCGCAAGGCUAAAACUCAAAGGAAUUGACGGGGGGCCCGCACAAGCAGCGGAGCAUGUUGCUUAAUUCGAGGCAACGCGAAGAACCUUACCUGGGUUUGACAUGUACGGAAAAGCCACAGAGAUGUGGUGUCCUUUUGGGCCGUACACAGGUGGUGCAUGGUUGUCGUCAGCUCGUGUCGUGAGAUGUUGGGUUAAGUCCCGCAACGAGCGCAACCCUUGUCCUAUGUUGCCAGCGGGUAAUGCCGGGGACUCGUAGGAGACUGCCGGGGACAACUCGGAGGAAGGUGGGGAUGACGUCAAAUCAUCAUGCCCCUUAUGUCCAGGGCUGCAAACAUGCUACAAUGGCCAGUACAAAGGGCUGCUAUACCGGCGAGGUUGAGCGAAUCCCACAAAGCUGGUCUCAGUUCGGAUUGGAGU
rnacentral:rRNA from 1 species